UACUCGCAUCUAAGCCUAGUGGCUGGUGGCACCUUCUAAGUUCUAAUUAAGCAGCAGGUAUACUACCAUACAAGAAGUGAAGUGCUAAGGCUCCCAGCUUAGUGCUAGCUGAGUCAGCUAACACCAGGCUGAAAACCUCUACACAUAUCUCUAGCUUUAAAAUAAUAAUAAUAGCGUGAAAGCAGUACGCCGAAACGGUAAUAAAUGAAAUGUGUAUAUAUAUAUACCUGAUGACCUUAUACUAGGAUAUAGAACAAAGAGCAGCUAAUACUAGGAAAUAUACAUUGAAUAACAAGCUGGGGUGGAAAAAGUGGUGAAAAAGAGUGCCUAGGAUCUUUAAUCAGUACAUUAAGUGG
rnacentral:lncRNA from 1 species